rnacentral:rRNA from 1 species
UNGAAGAACCUUACCUGGGCUUGACAUCUCNGGAAAUCCUGCAGAGAUGUGGGGUCCUUUGGGGGUCCGGCACAGGUGGUGCAUGGCUGUCGUCAGCUCGUGUCGUGAGAUGUUGGGUUAAGUCCCGCAACGAGCGCAACCCUUGUCCCAUGUUGCCAGCGGGUUAUGCCGGGGACUCAUGGGAGACUGCCGGGGUCAACUCGGAGGAAGGUGGGGAUGACGUCAAGUCAUCAUGCCCCUUAUGUCCAGGGCUUCACGCAUGCUACAAUGGCCGGUACAGAGGGCUGCGAUACAGUGANGUGGAGCGAAUCCCUUAAAGCCGGUCUCAGUUCGGAUCGGGGUCUGCAACUCGACCCCGNGAAGUNCGGAGUCGCUAGUAAUCGCAGNUCANA